rnacentral:rRNA from 1 species
GAUGAACGCUGGCGGCGUGCUUAACACAUGCAAGUCGAACGGAAAGGCCCUGCUUUUGUGGGGUGCUCGAGUGGCGAACGGGUGAGUAACACGUGAGUAACCUGCCCUUGACUUUGGGAUAACUUCAGGAAACUGGGGCUAAUACCGGAUAGGAGCUCCUGCUGCAUGGUGGGGGUUGGAAAGUUUCGGCGGUUGGGGAUGGACUCGCGGCUUAUCAGCUUGUUGGUGGGGUAGUGGCUUACCAAGGCUUUGACGGGUAGCCGGCCUGAGAGGGUGACCGGCCACAUUGGGACUGAGAUACGGCCCAGACUCCUACGGGAGGCAGCAGUGGGGAAUAUUGCACAAUGGGCGGAAGCCUGAUGCAGCAACGCCGCGUGCGGGAUGACGGCCUUCGGGUGGUAAACCGCUUUCGCCUGUGACGAAGCGUGAGUGACGGUAAUGGGUAAAGAAGCACCGGCUAACUACGU